AUUGAACGCUGGCGGGAUGCUUAACACAUGCAAGUCGAACGAGUGGCGGACGGGUGAGUAAUAUAUCGGAACGUGCCUAGUAGCGGGGGAUAACUACUGGAAACGGUGGCUAAUACCGCAUACCAUUCGAUCUGCCGAGAUGGGAUUAGCUAGUUGGUGGGGUAAAGGCUCACCAAGGCGACGAUCCUUAGCUGGUCUGAGAGGAGGACCAGCCACACGGGGACUGAGAAACGGCCCAGACUCCUACGGGAGGCAGCAGUGGGGAAUGUUGGACAAUGGGGGAAACCCUGAUGCAGCCAUCCCGCGUGUAUGAUGAAGGCCCUAGGGUUGUAAAGUACUUUCAGUGGGGAGGCGUUACCCACAGAAGAAGCACCGGCUAACUCCGUGCCAGCAGCUGCGGUAAUAC
rnacentral:rRNA from 1 species